GACGAAGGGGGCUAGCGUUGCUCGGAAUCACUGGGCGUAAAGCGUACGUAGGCGGCUUUUUAAGUCAGGGGUGAAAUCCUGGAGCUCAACUCCAGAACUGCCUUUGAUACUGAGAAGCUUGAGUCCGGGAGAGGUGAGUGGAACUGCGAGUGUAGAGGUGAAAUUCGUAGAUAUUCGCAAGAACACCAGUGGCGAAGGCGGCUCACUGGCCCGGUACUGACGCUGAGGUGCGAAAGCGUGGGGAGCAAACAGG
rnacentral:rRNA from 1 species